GGAAGACACUUGACUGAUUACAUGUUAUUCCAACAGCAGUUGCUGUAGAAACCAUAAUUUGUCUAUCAUUAUGUAUAAGAAUAUCUGUGGUAGGAGGCAAGGUAUUUGAGACAAUGUUUAAAUAGGGCUGUUAUUUAAAUAUUACAAAGUAAUGAUCUUGACAUGAGAAGAAAGUCUGUUGUCAGGAAAUAACCCAUGUGUUAGUGCGUAUGUCCUCAGGAGAAAAGCAGCACAUAAGAAGCCAGAAAUAACCAAGGGCAUGGGCUGACUUCUAGAGAUUGAGUGUACAUCAAGAUACACCAGGCUGGGGGUAUACUUCUUACAGCACCUGUAGUGGUAAAGAUCAUCAUGUCUCUCUUCGGUGGGCGCAUAAUUCUCACAAGAAGUAAGGUCCAGCUGAAUAAUGGUCUUAUGCUUAGGAACCAGAAGGAGAGGGGUCGCCAGCUUCAGCUGGAAUGUUAGUUGGUGUAUGAUGAGUGAUGGAAAUAAGUGGAUGUAUGGUGUGAUCAUAAAACAGAGGCCAUAAGUCUCUAAGUUUGAAUGCCUCACAGAAAGAAGGCAGAAACCUGAACCAGGACCAGAGGUUCCACGUCUGGUGAUCCAAGAGACCAGGUCCGAGUGUUCCGGAAGAAAGGAAUGAGCCAAGGAGGGAGGGUCCCUACAAGGUGGCUCGAACAAUGUUAACUGCUGUCCAGGUGAAAGGAAGCAACACGUGGUACCAUCUAAACCACUAUACCAAAGUUCCGUCGGAAAGGAGGGGACAACCAUCAGGAGCCAGGCAGGAGCCAGGCAGGAGACAGGCAGGAGACAGACAGGAGACGAAUUGAGGAGCAACUUUCAACAGCCAACAGACACUCUCUCCUGAAUAUCCAGAGAGUCCAGGGAUGGGGAGGAGUGACAUGCCUGUUGCUUCUGAUGACAUACCUACUCUGGCAGAUACCCCUGAUAGAGGUGUUGUUUAAGGGGACGGAGAAACAACGACAGGAGAAUGGAAAGGAGACUUUCUUAUCAACUUCUCUGUCCUCACAUGGUCUUUUUAACAGACAGUGAAACAGGAUAGAUGAAGAAUGGUAGAAUGGUCUUGACAGCAACAGCAACAAACCUAGAAGAAAUUGUAAAAUUACCUCCCACUAGAGACUAGUACACCAACUAAGACAAUAGAAAAACCAUAAGAAAGUGGGUUGAUGCAGAAAAUCUGGACAUCUGUUACCAACUGGGGUAGCUACAAUGAAGAAACUACCCAAGAAUCAAACAUUGAUCAA
rnacentral:lncRNA from 1 species